rnacentral:rRNA from 1 species
GGCGAACCGUGCGAACGUUGUUCGGAAUCACUGGGCUUAAAGGGCGCGUAGGCGGGCUCGCAAGUCAGGGGUGAAAGCCCGCGGCUCAACCGCGGAAGCGCCUUUGAUACUGCGGGCCUCGAGGGGGGUAGGAGCGUGCGGAACUUCCGGUGGAGCGGUGAAAUGCGUAGAUAUCGGAAGGAACACCGGUGGCGAAAGCGGCGCGCUGGACCCCCACUGACGCUGAGGCGCGAAAGCCAGGGGAGCAAACGGG